rnacentral:rRNA from 1 species
UACGGAGGGAGCAAGCGUUACUCGGAAUUAUUGGGCGUAAAGGGCGCGUAGGCGAUUUGAAAAGUCUUGUGUGAAAGCCCCGAGCUUAACUCGGGAAGUGCACAAGAAACUGUUGAAUUUGAGUUCCGGAGAGGAAGGCAGAAUUCCCGGUGUAGCGGUGAAAUGCGUAGAUAUUGGGAGGAACACCAGUGGCGAAGGCGGCUCACUGGACCGGUACUGACGCUGAUGCGCGAAAGCGUGGGGAGCAAACGGG